UGCUUACACAUGCAAGUCGAACGAUGAACCACUUCGGUGGGGAUUAGUGGCGAACGGGUGAGUAACACGUGGGCAAUCUGCCCUGCACUCUGGGACAAGCCCUGGAAACGGGGUCUAAUACCGGAUACUGACCAUCUUGGGCAUCUUCGAUGGUCGAAAGCUCCGGCGGUGCAGGAUGAGCCCGCGGCCUAUCAGCUAGUUGGUGAGGUAAUGGCUCACCAAGGCGACGACGGGUAGCCGGCCUGAGAGGGCGACCGGCCACACUGGGACUGAGACACGGCCCAGACUCCUACGGGAGGCAGCAGUGGGGAAUAUUGCACAAUGGGCGAAAGCCUGAUGCAGCGACGCCGCGUGAGGGAUGACGGCCUUCGGGUUGUAAACCUCUUUCAGCAGGGAAGAAGCGAAAGUGACGGUACCUGCAGAAGAAGCGCCGGCUAACUACGUGCCAGCAGCCGCGGGGUAAUACAA
rnacentral:rRNA from 1 species